ACCGGGCACAGUGGCAUAUGGCUGUAGUCCCAGCUACUUGGGAGGCUGAGGUGGGAGGAUCGCUUGAGCCCAGGAGUUCUGGGCUGUAGCGCACUAUGCUGAUCAGUAUGCACUAAGUUCAGCAUCAAUAUGGUGACCUCCUGGGAGUGGGAACCACCAGGUUGCCUAAGGAGUGGUCAACCGGCCCAGGUUGGAAACGGAGCAGGUCAAAACUCUCAUGCUGAUCAUAAUGGGAUCACGCCUGUGAAUAGCAACUGCAGUCUAGCCUGGGCAACAUAGAGAGACCCUGUCUCUA
ensembl:misc_RNA Metazoa_SRP Metazoan signal recognition particle RNA